rnacentral:misc_RNA from 1 species
GCUACCAUUAAACUAAGAAAGGUUCACAUUCACAGACUGAAUCAGCUAUAACUAUAAGGAUGCAGUCAUGGUAUUAAGAUCAACAUGUAAGUCAGACCUAAGAACCACAUACUUUUGAAGUUUAAAGGAUUUGUCAUGUAUCGUAUGUUGAUUCCAAAACUCUCUAUUUCAAUAGUCAAAAUAAAUAGGAGUCGCUUGAGCCACCAAAGUUACUUAUCGUGGGAACAGGUCAUAGCCCAAGAAGUGAGAACAGUAAUCUGAUUUUCGUUUUCACCGUUAUAUUUCAAGCCAAACCUUCGUUUUCUUUGCACCAUCAUAAACCCCAUAACUUCAUAAACCUUGUUUUUGACACCCAAUGACCAAUAAUUAUGAGCCUAACAACCCUUCCUCCAACUGGUCAGGACAAUCACAAGUUCACAACAUCCAAACCAGAUCUUUUUAUCCAUGGAAAACCACUUUAACUUACUUAUAGACGCCACUACUUCUAUUCUUGUUAGUGUUGUCAUAAAUCACAUCAUCCUCAGCUUAUGAGCAGAACGACCACGGAACCCAGGAAGCAUCUAAACAUAUCACUUCUUAACAGACAGAGUAAAACAACCUUCUAAUUUGGGCCAAAAAAAUAAGCAGAAGAAAAAGAAGAAACCUUUAUAACUCACCCAAGAAGAGAAAUUCUAGAA